rnacentral:rRNA from 1 species
CACUCUAGAGAGACUGCCAGGGAUAACCUGGAGGAAGGUGGGGAUGACGUCAAAUCAUCAUGCCCCUUAUGCUUAGGGCUACACACGUGCUACAAUGGGUAGUACAGAGGGUUGCCAAGCCGUAAGGUGGAGCAAAUCCCUUAAAGCUACUCUCAGUUCGGAUUGUAGGCUGAAACUCGCCUACAUGAAGCUGGAGUUACUAGUAAUCGCAGAUCAGAAUGCUGCGGAGAAUGCGUUCCCGGGGCUUGUACACACCGCCCGUCACACCACGGGAGUUGGAGACGCCCGAAGCCGAUUAUCUAACCUUUUGGAAGAAGUCGUCGAAGGUGGAAUCAAUAACUGGGGUGAAGUCGUAACAAGGUAGCCUUAUCGGAAGGUGCGGCUGGAUCACCUCCUUUCUAAGGAGA